UACGUAGGAUGCAAGCGUUGUCCGGAAUUAUUGGGCGUAAAGAGCGAGCAGGCGGUUCGUCAAGUCAGAUGUGAAAUAUCCCGGCUUAACCGGGAGGGGCCAUUUGAAACUGACGGACUAGAGUGGAGCAGAGGACAGUGGAAUUCCCGGUGUAGUGGUGAAAUGCGUAGAUAUCGGGAGGAGCACCAGUGGCGAAGGCGACUGUCUGGGCUUUAACUGACGCUGAGGCGCGAAGGCCGGGGGAGCAAACAGG
rnacentral:rRNA from 1 species